rnacentral:rRNA from 1 species
CAAAAACAUCGCCUCUUGCAAAACUAAAGAAUAAGAGGUCCCGCCUGCCCUGUGACAAUACGUUUAACGGCCGCGGUAUUUUGACCGUGCGAAGGUAGCGCAAUCACUUGUCUCUUAAAUGGAGACCUGUAUGAAUGGCAUAACGAGGGCUUAACUGUCUCCUUUUUCCGGUCAAUGAAAUUGAUCUUCCCGUGCAGAAGCGGGAAUUAAUACAUAAGACGAGAAGACCCUAUGGAGCUUUAGAUGCUAAGACAGAUCAUGUUAAAAACCCCUUACAAAGGAACAAACUAAAUGACCCCCGUCCUAAUGUCUUUGGUUGGGGCGACCGCGGGGUAACAUAAAACCCCCAUGUGGAGCGGGGGUAUUUCCCCCAAAACCAAGGGCAACAGCCCUAAGCAACAGAACAUCUGACCAUCAAGAUCCGGCAGAGCCGAUCAACGAACCGAGUUACCCUAGGGAUAACAGCGCAAUCCCCUUCUAGAGCCCAUAUCGACAAGGGGGUUUACGACCUCGAUGUUGGAUCAGGACAUCCUAAUGGUGCAGCCGCUAUUAAGGGUUCGUUUGUUCAACGAUUAAAGUCCUACGUGAUCU